UACGGAGGAGGCAAGCGUUAUCCGGAAUUAUUGGGCGUAAAGCGUCCGUAGGUGGCUCUUCAAGUCUGCUGUCAAAGAGUGGGGCUUAACCCUGCAAAGGCAGUGGAAACUGAAAGGCUAGAGAGCCGUAGGGGUAGAGGGAAUUCCCGGUGUAGCGGUGAAAUGCGUAGAGAUGUGGAGGAACACCGAUGGCGAAGGCAGCCCCCUGGGUUAACACUGACGCUCAGGCACGAAAGCGUGGGGAGCAAACAGG
rnacentral:rRNA from 1 species